rnacentral:lncRNA from 1 species
UGGAAUCUCAGUGGGUCUGAAGUAAAGACUUUAAAGAUUGCUGCCUAGCCCCUUUGCAGUUCUGAUGAGAAUUAGGGUGUAGGGGACAGUGCCCCAGUCUCCCAGCUGUGAGUGGUUCAGCUGGAUUGAGCCUCUGAACUCCCAGGGCAGAGGUCUCUCCUGUGGCCUUCCCCCUUGUUGGAAACCCCUUCCCCAUCCCCCAAGGAGGCCUGUGAGGGUUGGACCUGGGAGGACCAGGAUGGCCAAGGUGUGCAGUGCCAGGCCCAGGUGGAAGUGUAGUGGGGGAUAAUAAAAGUCCCCUGAACUCCAGGCCCAGGCCUUGGAGCAGGUGCAAGUUGGGUCUGGACUUUUCCAUUCCAAGCCCACUCCCCUGCCCCCAGCUCAGCCACCCAGUUGACCCCCUCAGGCAGGAAGGGAUGGUGGACAAACAGCUUGCAUGUGGCCUGCCGUUAAGAGGGAGGUGGAGACACUCCCUGGGGCCCCAUCCAUGGCUACACUGAGCCUGCUGCCCUGUCAUCAGAUGAAAAGCCAGCAACUGCUCCUGAGAGGACCUCAUUGAUUAAGUCUCUCCUUGUUAUUAACAGCAGGAACUCUGGGCCCAGGGUGUAGCCUUGCAGAGCUCUGAGGGAAACAGGGUGAUGAAACAGAGACCUGUGGUCACAAUCAACACAUGCCCCUUGUUGGCUAAAGCCCACACUCCCUCCAAGGCCCACAGGGUCCCAGGUGACUUCAGCAGCCUCCGCUGGUGCCCCAUGCUGGGCUCCAGUUUCAGAGCUGCACCAACCCUCCCCAGGCCUGCUGCCCCAGUAGCACCCAGCAAUGGGCUUGAGCCGGCUCCCACUGACCUUUGAUUGUCUGCGUUCAGUGACAUCAUGCCACCAUGAGAGUGUUUACACCAUACAAUGCCAAAUGCUACCAAUCUGCUGACCCCUCCACCGCCCACCCUAGAGCCAAUUAUUAGAAAUUUACCAGCAGGUCACUGUGCAUGCUGACCUUUG